ACAAAUGAAGUCUCCUCAAAUUUUGGAUACAAAAAGUUAAAAGUGAAAAUGUGUCAUGCCCUUCAAAUUGUCUAUAAAUCAAAAGGAAUUAUACAAUGUCGUUGGGCGGCAACAUAUUUCAUAACAAAAUUUUCAAAUUGUCUUACAUAUUGGUUUUGUACAUUUCCCAGUAAAAAAAAACAGGUUUUGUACAUUUUGUUACAUGGGGUUAUGUUGUGUUACAUGAGGGUUAUGAUGUGUUACAAUGUAAUUUUGGUCUCUCGGUUCCUUUCCCAAUUAAUUCCCAAAAAUGGGCAAUGCAACCAAAACUCAUCAUUUCUUUUACCUUUCCAUUCUGGUAUUCAGAACUUGAGCAGGGCAGAGAAACAGAUCAUGGGAUUGCGAUAUUCAUCCAUCAUAUCGAUUUCAACUUCACCUUUUUCUGAUCUAGCCUAUGAGUUGUUUCCCAUUUUGGGUUGA